CACGUAGGGGGCAAGCGUUGUCCGGAUUUAUUGGGCGUAAAGAGCUCGUAGGCGGUUCGGUAAGUCGGGUGUGAAACCUCCAGGCUCAACCUGGAGACGCCACCCGAUACUGCUGUGACUAGAGUCCGGUAGGGGAGCGUGGAAUUCCUGGUGUAGCGGUGAAAUGCGCAGAUAUCAGGAGGAACACCGAUGGCGAAGGCAGGUCUCUGGGCCGCAACUGACGCUGAGGAGCGAAAGCAUGGGGAGCGAACAGG
rnacentral:rRNA from 1 species